UACGUAGGGUGCAAGCGUUGUCCGGAUUUAUUGGGCGUAAAGAGCGUGUAGGCGGUUAGGUAGGUCCGUUGUGAAAACUCGAGGCUCAACCUCGAGACGCCGAUGGAAACCAUCUGACUAGAGUCCGGAAGAGGAGAGUGGAAUUCCUGGUGUAGCGGUGAAAUGCGCAGAUAUCAGGAAGAACACCCGUGGCUAAGGCGGCUCUCUAGUACGUGACUGACGCUGAGGAGCGAAAGCUAGGGGAGCAAACGGG
rnacentral:rRNA from 1 species